GGGGAUGUGGCGGAAUGGCAGACGCGCUUGGUUGAGGGCCAAGUCCAGGUUACUGGGUGGAGGUUCAACUCCUCUCAUCCCCACCA
rnacentral:tRNA from 1 species